rnacentral:rRNA from 1 species
AUUGAACGCUGGCGGCAGGCCUAACACAUGCAAGUCGAGCGGAUGAAGGGAGCUUGCUCCUGGAUUCAGCGGCGGACGGGUGAGUAAUGCCUAGGAAUCUGCCUGGUAGUGGGGGAUAACGUCCGGAAACGGGCGCUAAUACCGCAUACGUCCUGAGGAGGAAGGUGGGGGUUCUUGGACCUCCCCCUUUCCGGAUAGCCUAGGUCGGAUUAGCUAGUUGGUGGGGUAAAGGCCUACCAAGGCGACGAUCCAUAACUGGUCUGAGAGGAUGAUCAGUCACACUGGAACUGAGACACGGUCCAGACUCCUACGGGAGGCAGCAGUGGGGAAUAUUGGACAAUGGGCGAAAGCCUGAUCCAGCCAUGCCGCGUGUGUGAAGAAGGUCUUCGGAUUGUAAAGCACUUUAAGUUGGGAGGAAGGGCAGUAAGUUAAUACCUUGCUGUUUUGACGUUACCAACAGAAUAAGCACCGGCUAACUUCGUG